rnacentral:rRNA from 1 species
GCAAGUCGAACGCUUUUUCUUUCACCGGAGCUUGCUCCAYCGAAAGAAAAAGAGUGGCGAACGGGUGAGUAACACGUGGGUAACCUGCCCAUCAGAAGGGGAUAACACUUGGAAACAGGUGCUAAUACCGUAUAACACUAUUUUCCGCAUGGAAGAAAGUUGAAAGGCGCUUUUGCGUCACUGAUGGAUGGACCCGCGGUGCAUUAGCUAGUUGGUGAGGUAACGGCUCACCAAGGCAACGAUGCAUAGCCGACCUGAGAGGGUGAUCGGCCACACUGGGACUGAGACACGGCCCAGACUCCUACGGGAGGCAGCAGUAGGGAAUCUUCGGCAAUGGACGAAAGUCUGACCGAGCAACGCCGCGUGAGUGAAGAAGGUUUUCGGAUCGUAAAACUCUGUUGUUAGAGAAGAACAAGGAUGAGAGUARAACGUUCAUCCCUUGACGGUAUCUAACCAGAAAGCCACGGCUAACUACGUGCCAGCAGCCGCGGUAAUACGUAGGUGGCAAGCGUUGUCCGGAUUUAUUGGGCGUAAAGCGAGCGCAGGCGGUUUCUUAAGUCUGAUGUGAAAGCCCCCGGCUCAACCGGGGAGGGUCAUUGGAAACUGGGAGACUUGAGUGCAGAAGAGGAGAGUGGAAUUCCAUGUGUAGCGGUGAAAUGCGUAGAUAUAUGGAGGAACACCAGUGGCGAAGGCGGCUCUCUGGUCUGUAACUGACGCUGAGGCUCGAAAGCGUGGGGAGCGAACAGGAUUAGAUACCCUGGUAGUCCACGCCGUAAACGAUGAGUGCUAAGUGUUGGAGGGUUUCCGCCCUUCAGUGCUGCAGCAAACGCAUUAAGCACUCCGCCUGGGGAGUACGACCGCAAGGUUGAAACUCAAAGGAAUUGACGGGGGCCCGCACAAGCGGUGGAGCAUGUGGUUUAAUUCGAAGCAACGCGAAGAACCUUACCAGGUCUUGACAUCCUUUGACCACUCUAGAGAUAGAGCUUCCCCUUCGGGGGCAAAGUGACAGGUGGUGCAUGGUUGUCGUCAGCUCGUGUCSUGAGAUG